UAUCUCUUCAACUGGAUCUGGCGUUUUUACUUUGAGGGCUUCUUUGACAUGAUUGCCAUUGUGGCUGGAGUGGUGCAGACGGUCCUUUACUGUGAUUUCUUCUACUUGUAUGUUACGAAAGUCUUGAAGGGCAAGAAGCUGAGCCUUCCAGCAUAAAAAACAAGUUGAGGAGGUGACGGGACUCCCAGCAGACUCAGGGCGAGCGGAGAUGAAAUUGUGGGAUCUCGUGACCAGCAGCAGGAGGCCUGUGACAGAGCUGCCUCAUGGGGAAUAACACUAAAGUCUUUUGGAUGAUUUCAGAUGAACUGGUAAAUGCCAACCAACGUCAGAGCUGAACGAAUCUCGGUCAACCAUUGGAUUUAUUUGUUCAGCGUCUUUGCCUUAACACUUCUUUCAUUACUAUUCAAAUGGGAGAGAAGGCCUCUUCUAUUUGCGAGGUGCUUUUUGUUGCUUUUUCCUUUGAAUUUUUAAAAAUAUUCUCGCAAAAAUGGUUUUCCAUUUGACUUGGCGAUGAUAUGCACAAAUGCACAGUUUUGGAGAAGUGGAGUAAUAUAUCAGAGAUCAGUGCCUGAUAAGAUUUAUGUUCAUUGUUUUUUUUGUCUUUCAUUUUAUUUCCAUUUGCCAUAUUAAUUGUAUGCCUAAAUUACAUCUGUAAAAUACUUAAGAGGCCAACAGCAAGUUCAUAAUUAGAAAUAAAAUCCCAAAAGUGUCA